rnacentral:rRNA from 1 species
GCGGCAACAGCUCAAAUUUGAAAUCCGGAACCCCCCCGGGGCGCCCGAGUUGUAAUUUGCAGAGGAUGCUUUUGGCGAGGCGCCUUCCGAGUUCCCUGGAACGGGACGCCACAGAGGGUGAGAGCCCCGUCUGGUCGGACGCCGAGCCUCUGUAAAGCUCCUUCGACGAGUCGAGUAGUUUGGGAAUGCUGCUCAAAACGGGAGGUAUAUGCCUUCUAAAGCUAAAUACCGGCCAGAGACCGAUAGCGCACAAGUAGAGUGAUCGAAAGGUGAAAAGCACUUUGAAAAGAGGGUUAAACAGUACGUGAAAUUGUUGAAAGGGAAGCGCCCGUGACCAGACUUGGGCCCGGCGGAUCAUCCGGCGUUCUCGCCGGUGCGCUCCGUCGGGCCCAGGCCAGCAUCGGUUCGCCGCGGGGGAUAAAGGCGCCGGGAACGUGGCUCCUCCGGGAGUGUUAUAGCCCGGCGCGCAAUGCCCUGCGGGGGACCGAGGUUCGCGCUCCGGCAAGGAUGCUGGCGUAAUGGUUACCGGCGACCCGUCUUGAAACACGGACCAAGGAGUCGUCCUCGCAUGCGAGUGUUCGGGUGUCAAACCCCUACGCGGAAUGAAAGUGAACGCAGGUGAGAGCUUCGGCGCAUCAUCGACCGAUCCUGAUGUUCUCGGAUGGAUUUGAGUAGGAGCAUGCGGGGCCGGACCCGAAAGAAGGUGAACUAUGCCUGUGUAGGGUGAAGCCAGAGGAAACUCUGGUGGAGGCUCGCAGCGGUUCUGACGUGCAAAUCGAUCGUCAAACAUG